rnacentral:rRNA from 1 species
CGCUGGCGGCGUGCCUAACACAUGCAAGUCGAACGAUGAUGGAGAGCUUGCUCUCCUGAUUAGUGGCGCACGGGUGAGUAAUGCAUAGAUAAUGUGCCCCUUAGUUCGGGAUAGCCACUGGAAACGGUGAUUAAUACCGGAUACUCCUUCUUGUUAUAAGACAAGUCGGGAAAGUUUUUCGCUAAGGGAUCAGUCUAUGUUCCAUCAGCUAGUUGGUGAGGUAAUGGCUCACCAAGGCAAUGACGGAUAUCUGGUUUGAGAGGAUGAUCAGACACACUGGAACUGAGACACGGUCCAGACUCCUACGGGAGGCAGCAGUGAGGAAUAUUGCACAAUGGAGGAAACUCUGAUGCAGCAACGCCGCGUGGAGGAUGACGCAUUUCGGUGUGUAAACUCCUUUUAUUAGGGAAGAUUAUGACGGUACCUAAUGAAUAAGCACCGGCUAACUCCGUGCCAGCAGCCGCGGUAAUACGGAGGGUGCAAGCGUUACUCGGAAUCACUGGGCGUAAAGGGUGCGUAGGCUGGCUUUUAAGUCAGAUGUGAAAUCCAAUGGCUCAACCAUUGAACUGCAUUUGAAACUGAAGGCCUAGAGUUCAGAAGGGGCAGAUGGAAUUAGUGGUGUAGGGGUAAAAUCCGUAGAUAUCACUAGGAAUAUCAAAAGCGAAGGCGAUCUGCUGGGAUGAUACUGACGCUGAGGCACGAAAGCGUGGGGAGCAAACAGGAUUAGAUACCCUGGUAGUCCACGCCCUAAACGAUGAAAUGCUAGUCGUCGGGGAGCUCGUCUCUUCGGUGAUGCACUUAACAGAUUAAGCAUUCCGCCUGGGGAGUACGGUCGCAAGAUUAAAACUCAAAGGAAUAGACGGGGACCCGCACAAGUGGUGGAGCAUGUGGUUUAAUUCGAAGAUACACGAAGAACCUUACCUGGCCUUGACAUGGUAGGAACCCUUAAGAGAUUAGGGGGUGCUAGCUUGCUAGAACCUACACACAGGUGCUGCACGGCUGUCGUCAGCUCGUGUCGUGAGAUGUUGGGUUAAGUCCCGCAACGAGCGCAACCCUCGUCAUUAGUUGCUAACAGUUUGGCUGAGCACUCUAAUGAGACUGCCUCCGUAAGGAGGAGGAAGGUGAGGACGACGUCAAGUCAUCAUGGCCCUUACGGCCAGGGCUACACACGUGCUACAAUGGGGCGUACAGAGAGCUGCAAUACCGCGAGGUGGAGCCAAUCUCUUAAAGCGUCUCUCAGUUCGGAUUGUUCUCUGCAACUCGAGAACAUGAAGCUGGAAUCACUAGUAAUCGCAGAUCAGCUAUGCUGCGGUGAAUACGUUCCCGGGUCUUGUACUCACCGCCCGUCACACCAUGGGAGUUGAUUUCACCCGAAAUCGGGAUGCCAAACUGGCUACCGCUUACGGUGGAAUUAGCGACUGGGGUGAAGUGGUAACAAGGUAACC